rnacentral:ncRNA from 1 species
UAUUAAUUGAGUUAGCACGAUUUGAGUUUGUUGAUAAAGUUUUAUUUUGUCUUAAAAAUUAACUAUUAAAUUUUUGUAUAUGUGAAUUUUUGCUUUAAAUAAUUUGUUGUCGCAGUAUAGAAUUUUAAGUAUUAAGUUAGCUUAGACUUAGAAAUUUGAUUUAGUAUAAACAAAAUUUGUGCCAGCAGUUGCGGUUAUACAAAUUGUGCAGGUUAAUUUUAUCUAGUACCAAUUAAGUGUGAAAUUUAAGAAGUUUAAUUUUAUGUUUUUUAGGUGAAAUUUUAAAUUUAAUUUAAAUUUUUUUUUUGAUUCUGAAGUUGGGAAAUUCUCUUUUUAAACUAGGAUUAGAUACCCUAUUAUUGAGAAUGUAAAAUUUUUAGCUAAGAUUAUUAUUAGUUAAGUUCUUUAAAGUUAAAGAAUUUGGCGGUAUUUUAGUCUAUUCAGAGGAACCUGUUUCUUAAUUGAUAGUCCACGAUAAAUUUUACUCUAGUUUUUAAUUUGCAUAUCGUCGUUUAUAAGAAUUUUAGGAGAAGGAAAAUUCUUAAGGUUUUUAAUUUGAAAGUAAUUCAGAUCAAGGUGUAGUUUAUAUUAGAGUUGAAAUGGGUUACAAUAUAUUUAUAUGUGGUUUUUAGUUUUAAUAAUUAAAAUAAAAUGGAUUUGAUAGUAAAUUCUUUAUUUUUGGGGGUUGAUUUAGCUCUAAAAUAUGCACAUAUCGCCCGUCGCUUUCAUUUUAAGGUGGAAUAAGUCGUAACAAAGUAGGCUUAUUGGAAAAUGAGCCUGGAAUG